rnacentral:tRNA from 2 species
AGGGCAGUGGCUCAAUUGGCAGAGCACCGGUCUCCAAAACCGGCGGUUGAGGGUUCGAGUCCCUCCUGCCCUG